AUGAAAGGUGACCCUUCUGAAUCCAGUGUCAGCAGACUAGCAUGGCUGUCCAGAUCACAGGAUAUUACGGAUCUUUCAAACAGAAUGCCAAACUAUAAAGAUGUGUGCAAUAUGAGCACAAUAUAUACUAUGUGAGUAAAGAAGCUACAGGCUGCGGGUAAUAGGAGAACUACUUCAAAGCAGCUAUGGGAAAGCUAAAAGGGGUUAGAAGUAGGGGAAGUUUAUCAGAACAUCAUUAGGCCAUUUCACGGAAGCCAAGAGCAGAAAGGCCACGGAUGUAUGGACUGGAACCAGGAUUGGAGCAUGGGGGAGCCUGCAUGGAUUGGUGACUUUUUCCGCAGAGUGUGGGUUCGUGGCUCUUCAGCUGUAGAUCAGUACUCUGUCCAUAAGUCUAUAGGACAGAAAAGGAUGGCCAAGAGCUCCUGAAUUUUACAUGUUCCAGUCCAGGGCUAAAGAGAUUUCUCUUUCCAACCCAGUCUACACAAUUGAUGAGGAAGAAACAGGAGUUUCCCCAGGUCAGGUGUGACCCCUGAUCAAUCAAUUGUGGAUGGGCAGAGAGUCGGGGAAGGAUUUUGAUUAACUGGGCUCGGGUCUCCUCUGCCCGCAGAAGUGAAUACUACUUUGCCUCCUGCUGGAAUCCCUUUCCGUCCAUGAAAAUACACAAUGGAUUAGAAGGGUCAGGGGUUUGGAGUCAGGCAAAUCUGAGUCUCGCUUAUUAGUUAUGCAACUCUGGACGAAUCACUUAAUCUCUUCAAAAUUCAAUGUCCUCAUCUAUAAAACUGGACUAAAACUAUUGGCCAUGCAGCAUUGUCAACCUAAAAGGAUGCUGGGUGGGAAUUUUCCUCAUGCCCAAAAGUGAGGCCAAAAAGAACUGUGAAGAAAUUGACAUUCUCUGGCACAGCGGUUCUCAAAGUGAGUCCUGGGACCAUCAGCCUCAACCUCACCUGAGAACUUGUCAGAAAUGCAAAAUCUUGAACUCUAGCCUAGACUUACUGCAUCAGAAACAUUGGACAUGGCAACCAGUGAUGCAGGCCGCAGUUUGAGAACUUCUGCUCUACGGACCUAGAAGGAACCUCCAAAGAGCCCUCCAGAGUGGACCACUAACUCCUGGUGGAGGCCAGUUGAAUCUACUCUUCCCAGGACCAUUCUAUUCCUGGCCAUCUCUGUCACUUCAGUGGAGAAGCCAUGAGCAACGUUCUCAACGUCCAACAUUCCUCUCUUAUGAGACUAAAGAUGUGAUCACAUUGGAUAUUUUCUUACAAAGAAUAAACCACUAGGACAUAAUCCCCAAAAUUAUGUCCCACUCAGGCCAAAAUGCCACUUUUUGGCCUGAGCUGGGAUCCCUGGAUGCAAGCUGCCACCAUCCAGUAUCUAGGCAAAUUGGACUGGGACUUUAGGCUGGCUUUCUUCCAUAAAGCUCUUUCAAGAUGGUCUCCUCCGGGAAGAGUCUCCACAACGAAAGCUGGAAAAGGUUUCCUUAACUCCAGACAGAUGAGCUCAGAGAACCACAAGAGGGCAGGUGUUCCCUAAAUCAGAUCUGAUGGCUGCCUGGUUCAGACAUUGGACUUGAAAUUUAAAUACUAGUUCAAGACUAACCCUUAUUUUCAGUAAAGACAACAUAGAUGAGCACCGGGUUUGGAAUAAGAAAAUAACAGUUCUAAUGCAGAGAUGAGUCUUUGAUAAGACUGGAUGAGCUCAAGGAUUUGAAACAGUUUUCUGGGGAUCCUUAGAGGCGCCAAGGAAAUAACUGAGAAGGCAAGAGAGAGUGCGAACAGAGACAGCGGUCAAUCCAUAAACCUGUGUGUGGGAGACUGAGAGAGUAACUUCUGGCAGAAGAAAGAUUUUUGUGGUCUUUGUUGGCUUGGCCUGGAGAGAGGUUUUCUAACUUGACAUGGGAAAGUUCAUGAACAUGACAAACAGAAAUAUGAGUCCAUGACUGAGUGAGAUUCCCAUCUAUAAGAACAAGACAUAAUGAGGAAGUGACAAGUCACACUGGAAGCUGAGUUAAUUGAUUAUAUUCAUAUGGAACAUGAAAGUUCUCCUUCUGAAAAGGGCGAAAGAUGACAUCCUCAAACUCGCAGCAAUAAUUGGAAGGAGAGACACGAACUCCCCGUUGCUCUGGAGAAAGUGAUGAAAGUUCCCGGGGCUCUGGCUAAUGACAGGAAACACAUAAGUGGACCGAGUAUCAGCCUCUUGGGGGGCCCCAGGAUACAGUUCAAAUGCCAGCUUGUCUGCUCAGGAAUUAAGGGGUUCCUGCUGCUGCUCCACUCUUCAGAAACAACAACAAAUAAGCGUUGAGAACUUACCAAGUGGCAGGCACUGUAGGAGAUGCCAACUGCUCAUCAUGGACCUUCAUGUUGCAGCUUGGGCCCAUCUUCCCCAUCUCAUCUCCCAGGACUCAAACUAGCAAAUCUCCUUAGGCUACUGUGAGGAGGAUGGAUUAAAAUGGGGAAAAGGCUGAGGCAGGGGGAAUUAAUUAGGAACCUGUUACAGUAUAAUUAGGGACAAAUUAUGAUGGUCUGCAUCAUUGUAGUAGUAGUAAAAAUUAAUUAAAAUGGACAGAUUCAAGAAAUAUUUAGGCAAUAGACUGACAGCAUUGGGUGGUUAAUUGACCUUAUUUUGACAGUUUGUGUGAAAGAUGGGAAUAAGUGAACGAUAAAUCUCAGGAUUUUGUUUGUUUCUAAUGUCUACAAAUGGGGAGAAAGUUGUGGGACUCCUUGUUCAUCUUUAGGCAUCUUUAGGCAUAAGAUUCAGUUACCUGAAGGAUAGUCAAGAGGAGAUGCUUAGUUAGCACUUAGGUUAUAAUACAGAAGAGAAAUUUUGUUGGAUAUACAAGUUUGUGAGCAAUUAACAUGUAAUAAAAGUAACCAGAUCACCCCAGGGGAGCUUUUAUAUUGAUAGUGAGGGGAGCCCAGAAAAGACCCCAGUGCCUAUAAAAGUGCCUGGCAGAUACAUAGUUGUCAAUUGAUAAGUGCAUGAAAUAGUUAACUAAUGAAAGAAUGAACAGACAUAGAGAUACCUCUUUCUGAUGAACAGAUAGAUGUAUAAACCAGUAAGAUCAUUCUAUGUGCUAUAAAUGAAGUAAUAUUAAAUGUUUCAUUCUAUGUGCUAUGGAAAGAAGUAAUAUUAAAUGUUUCCUACAAUAAUUCAUUAAAUUUUACAAUAAACACAAUAAAUUAGACAUGGAA
rnacentral:lncRNA from 1 species